AAUAUUUUAGAGUUGAACCCUUUUCCCCAAUUUCACCCGUAUUUUCCGAAUUUCCUCUCUCUAUAUAUAUAUAUAUAUAUAUAUCUCGAUAUUUAAUUUCUUCUACGAUUUCUCUCCAUUCCACCAGUGUUAUCGAUUGAUUCUUUGAUUUCUCUUCAACUCCACCUGUGCGGCUGACGGAGGCAAGCGGCGGGUGGCAAUUUUCGGCUAACGGCAGAAAUUUCAAGCCUAUUAUUCUACUCUUGAAGACCAAUUCUGCUCCAAUUUCUCUUCCAGUCCUCUUUUCGAUUAGUUUCUGCCUCUUUCUCUCUUUUUACUACCUAGAUAUUUUGUGGGUUUAGCAUUAUCGCAAUGUUUAUCCUUGAAGAUUUAUUACCUAGAUAGUUUUUUCGACUCUAGAAGACCAAUUGACUCUUGAAGAUUUAUCUUUUUUACUGCUCAAAUAACAAAAUAGGUUUCAAGAGCUUGAUAGAUCCGGAAGUUAUUCAUUUCUAUAGCUAUAUUUUUUAACACCUAUAAAGAAAAGUAAAUAUUAUACAUACACUCCUUUAUUCCAGAAGUUUUGGCGUGAUAGCAGACCUCGAGAUUCGAACGGAGAAAAUGCACACUUUCUAUUUAAGAACCGAAAAAUAAAUUUUAUAGACACUUUCUCUUGUCAUAUCUGAAAUUUGGAUUGGCUGUUGUUGUUGAUGAGGUUGGAAAAUGGUGUUGGUUGAGUUAUUGGAGCCAUAAAUGAAAAUUAAGAAGCUGAGGUUGAGGAACUAGAAAUGGCUAAUCUUGUAGUAGGUUGAGAAGCUUUUAUUUGUGGUAAUAAUCUAAUAUUUUCUGGAAAAUUUAGUUUGGGUCUGUUGCCUCUGAAUUAAAUUAUAAUUUACACAGUCUAUUUAUGCGAAGGACUUAGAUAGAAUGCUCGUAUGAUGUCUGAAAGUAAUUAGUUCGGUGAAGAAUGUUAAUUUUUCUGUUAUUGUUGUAGAGAUCUAUCAGGCCAAAGGUUGGUUUGGUUUACCUAUUAAAAGUCAUGAUAAGUAUUAAAUGAUAGUUCGGAAACCAUGAAGAUCACUGGUUAGAUUUUGUAUUUAAAUAAAGAUCAUGUUUCUAGGUGUCUUAUCUCUUUAACUUAACUUGAAUAAGGUCUCAAGGAACUUAUCAUGAUUACCAAUAACUAUAACUCAUUAAAUCUGAUUAUUACCACAAAUUUAUGUCAUUCCUUAAUAACAAUAUCCUAAAAGUCUUGGGUGGCUAAACAAACCCUUUAAAGCUUUUAAUUAAGAUGUUAAAACCAUGAUCUUGAGAUGGAGAAAGACUUAUUAAUAAUUUGAUUAGGUACGUAAUGACCUCACAAGUCUCCUCAUAUGUAGGCCAAAUGAUUUUUAUUAAUAAUAAUGGUACAGUCCUUUUACCUGCUCAUCUUACUUCCAGGAAAGUAUUUUGGGUAAUUACAUAUCUGCUUCUGUCAGGAUGCACAUUCUCUUUGAUAUUAUAUACUGAUAUGAAUUAAUGAAUCACAUAUGAUGAGAUUUAAAAGCAAAAAAGUAAGGCAAAACUAUUUUAUGUAAGAUGUUAGAAUAUUCUAGGAUGGCCACAAAAUAUAUUUUUGUUGUUGAAAGAAUCAAUUUUUUUUAUAGUAAACUGUUUGGCAUAGUACUAAGUAAUAUAUAUGGCUCCAUCUUCAUCUCCAUCAUCAUCCACUCCUAGCGUUUCUAGGCCGCAUGUUGAAAUCUCUGCCAUGUUUGUUCUCACUCAGAUCUUACUAAGGAACUGUUUGUAUAUUAUUGGUUUUGUACCUUUCCACUUGAAAUGAUACAUUAUAUGUGACAACCAAUGUAUUGUUGUAUUCUAUGUGAAAAACUUAAGUUAAUAGUGGUCAUGGUUGUAGAAUCUUGAGAGAAAUUCUCAUAAGGGGUAUUUGCUAGUUCAAAUUGAUCUGUUUGUUUGAAAGGGAAGUUUAAGGUUUCUCCAUGUAUACAACCUUUCUGUUUUAUGAGCUUCUUGUAUUUCUGGUAUCCAUGUAGAAUGAAAUGAUAUUGAAUGGCUGAGUGAGAAUACUAGGAAGCUGAGGCAGAGUGAAAAGAACAAAUAAAAGCCAUAUUUGGUGAUUCCCUCAUGCUUUCAAUCUUAAAAGCUCAUUUCAACGUCUUGAAAAUCAUACUGCAUGCCCUUAUUGAACCCUUUAAUACAAUGUUUAUUUCUUACAAUGCAUCCGUGAGAAUUUGUUCUUUAAUCUCUCAUAUUAAAUUACAGCAGGUUCUUUACUUCCUUUAGUUAGUUUUUUUUAGUUUUAAAAAAUUAGUUCUACUCAAGAUGAUGGUCUUUUUGAGUUUUGAUGUUGUUGUACAAUAUUUGGAUCGAAUCUUUCACAGGGCAAACUAAGCUUCUAAGAGGUUUAUAUUUGUUCCCAUGUAGUGGAUGUGGUGAAGGAAACAUAUAAUUGCACAUUUUUAUUCGACUAGGCUGAUUGUCCAGUACACUCAGAAGGCUUAUUGAAGCCUAUCAAAAACGUUUCGAGGAAAGUCAACCCGAUACCGAGGAUGGUAGCUCAAUCCAAGUGACACUCAAUGAUGUAGCUUCAAUAUGGAUGCAGGUGGUUGAUGGCGCAAAGAAAAGUAGAACUUACGAUCAUGGAUCAUAAUAUUCUGUAGAUCGUUCUACGACAUUGUUGUCUGGUGAGGCUAGUUAUUCGUAGAAUCACGAAGAGGUGGAAGCAUUACGAAAAGAAAUUGAAGAUUUGAAGGAGGAACGGAAAGAAGAUCGCGCAAAUUUUAACAAAUUGCAGAGUCUAGUGGAGAAAUUUAUGAGCAAACGUCCAUUUGAUCCUUUGAAUGGAGAGGAUGCCAGAAAUGAUGAGUUGUAGUUUGUUGUGGUUGUGAUGUUUGAGACAUUAUUUUUUGUUGUGGUUGGAUGUUUAGACUUAAUAAUGUUUAAACUUGACAUUGAAUGUAAUGUUUUAGACUAGAUUGAAUGGUGCUUCAAUAUUUAACUUGUGUUUGGAUGUUUAA